CCUACGGGGGGCAUCAGUGGGGAAUAUUGGACAAUGGGGGCAACCCUGAUCCAGCCAUGCCGCGUGUGUGAAGAAGGCCCUCGGGUUGUAAAGCACUUUCAGUGAGGAAGAACGCCUGGUGGUUAAUACCCAUCAGGAAAGACAUCACUCACAGAAGAAGCACCGGCUAACUCCGUGCCAGCAGCCGCGGUAAUACGGAGGGUGCGAGCGUUAAUCGGAAUUACUGGGCGUAAAGCGCGCGUAGGUGGCUUGAUAAGCCGGUUGUGAAAGCCCCGGGCUCAACCUGGGAACGGCAUCCGGAACUGUCAAGCUAGAGUGCAGGAGAGGAAGGUAGAAUUCCCGGUGUAGCGGUGAAAUGCGUAGAGAUCGGGAGGAAUACCAGUGGCGAAGGCGGCCUUCUGGACUGAUACUGACACUGAGGUGCGAAAGCGUGGGUAGCAAACAGGAUUAGAUACCCCUGUAGUC
rnacentral:rRNA from 1 species